GAUGAACGCUGACAGAAUGCUUAACACAUGCAAGUCAACUUGAACUUCGGUUUGGGUGGCGGACGGGUGAGUCACGCGUAAAGAACUUGCCUCACAGCUAGGGACAACAUUUGGAAACGAAUGCUAAUACCUGAUAUUAUGAUUAUAUGGCAUCGUAUAAUUAUGAAAGCUAUAUGCGCUGUGAGAGAGCUUUGCGUCCCAUUAGCUAGUUGGAGAGGUAACAGCUCACCAAGGCGAUGAUGGGUAGCCGGCCUGAGAGGGUGAUCGGCCACAAGGGGACUGGGACACGGCCCUUACGCCAACGGGAGGCAGCAGUGGGGAAUAUUGGACAAUGGACCGAGAGUCUGAUCCAGCAAUUCUGUGUGCACGAUGAAGUUUUUCGGAAUGUAAAGUGCUUUCAGUUGGGAAGAAAAAAAUGACGGUACCAACAGAAGAAGCGACGGCUAAAUACGUG
rnacentral:rRNA from 1 species